UACGUAGGGCGCAAGCGUUGUUCGGAAUUAUUGGGCGUAAAGCGCGUGUAGGCGGCUUGGCAAGUCGGGUGUGAAAUCCCUCGGCUCAACUGAGGAAGUGCAUCCGAAACUGGCAGGCUUGAGUACUAAAGAGGGUCGCGGAAUUCCCGGUGUAGGAGGUGAAAUUCGUAGAUAUCGGGAGGAACACCGGUGGCGAAGGCGGCGACCUGGGUAGAUACUGACGCUGAGGUGCGAAAGCGUGGGGAGCAAACAGGG
rnacentral:rRNA from 1 species